rnacentral:rRNA from 1 species
CACGUAGGGCGCAAGCGUUGUCCGGAAUUAUUGGGCGUAAAGAGCUCGUAGGCGGUCUGUUGCGUCCGCUGUGAAAACUCGGGGCUUAACCCCGAGCCUGCAGUGGAUACGGGCAGACUAGAGGUAGGUAGGGGAGAAUGGAAUUCCCGGUGUAGCGGUGAAAUGCGCAGAUAUCGGGAGGAACACCGGUGGCGAAGGCAGGUCUCUGGGCAUUAACUGACGCUGAGGAGCGAAAGCGUGGGGAGCGAACAGG